rnacentral:rRNA from 1 species
AUGACAAACCAAAAUAGUGACGAAAGCCUUAGGGAUAUUCUAAGGUCCACAAACCAAAAUAGUGACGAAAGGCCAUUUGGUGGCAUGACAGUUGUGCUAGGAGGCGACUUCAGACAAAUACUUCCAGUGAUAACAAAGGGAAAGAGAGAGCACAUAGUAAAUGCCUCAAUCAAAAGGUCAUACCUAUGGAAGCACUUCGAAAUAUUUAGACUAACAGAGAACAUGCGGCUGAAGUGCCUGGUAGAAGAUCCAAUACAAAGGCAAAAUGUGGCUGAAUUUACAGAAUGGAUAUUACAAAUUGGCGAUGGAAAAAAACAAAUGAUGAAGGAGAUGAUUGGGUAA